rnacentral:rRNA from 1 species
UACGGAGGGGACUAGCGUUGUUCGGAAUUACUGGGCGUAAAGCGCACGUAGGCGGAUUUGUUAGUCAGGGGUGAAAUCCCGAGGCUCAACCUCGGAACUGCCUUUGAUACUGCAAAUCUCGAGUCCGGAAGAGGUGAGUGGAAUUCCCGGUGUAGCGGUGAAAUGCGUAGAGAUCGGGAGGAACACCAGUGGCGAAGGCGGCUACCUGGACCAGCACUGACACUGAGGCACGAAAGCGUGGGGAGCAAACAGG